UACGGGGGGGGCAAGCGUUGUUCGGAAUUACUGGGCGUAAAGCGCAUGUAGGCGGCAGCGCAAGUCGGGCGUGAAAUCCCACGGCUCAACCGUGGAAGUGCGUCUGAAACUGCUGAGCUUGAGUCUCGGAGAGGAUGGCGGAAUUCCGCAAGUAGAGGUGAAAUUCGUAGAUAUGCGGAGGAACACCGGUGGCGAAGGCGGCCAUCUGGACGAGUACUGACGCUGAGACGCGAAAGCGUGGGGAGCAAACAGG
rnacentral:rRNA from 1 species